AACCUGCCCAGAAGCGGGGGAUAACACCUGGAAACAGAUGCUAAUACCGCAUAACAACUUGGACCGCAUGGUCCGAGCUUGAAAGAUGGCUUCGGCUAUCACUUUUGGAUGGUCCCGCGGCGUAUUAGCUAGAUGGUGGGGUAACGGCUCACCAUGGCAAUGAUACGUAGCCGACCUGAGAGGGUAAUCGGCCACAUUGGGACUGAGACACGGCCCAAACUACUACGGGAGGCAGCAGUAGGGAAUCUUCCACAAUGGACGAAAGUCUGAUGGAGCAACGCCGCGUGAGUGAAGAAGGGUUUCGGCUCGUAAAACUCUGUUGUUAAAGAAGAACAUAUCUGAGAGUAACUGUUCAGGUAUUGACGGUAUUUAACCAGAAAGC
rnacentral:rRNA from 1 species